AAGACAGACACAUAACCGGGGCAUCCAAGUAGUCCCAGAAGUUGUCGAUGAUGGCAGACCUCAGACUAGCACCGAUCCCGCCAGUGCGCAUGCACUCCUCGACAAUCAGCACGCGGUGCGUCUUCUUGAUUGAAUUGCCAAUAGUGUACAGAUCGAACGGCUUCAGCGAGCGGAUAUCGAUAACCUCAGGGUCGUAACCUUUGUUCACCAGCGUCUUCGCAGCCUGCAUCACAUGGUACCGCAUACGGGAGUAUGUGAGGAUAGUGACAUGCUCACCAGGCCGCACCAUCUCCG
rnacentral:misc_RNA from 1 species